AGACACAGGCAGAGGGAGAAGCAGGCUCCAUGCACCGGGAGCCCGAUGGUGGGAUUCGAUCCCGGGUCUCCAGGAUCGCGCCCUGGGCCAAAGGCAGGCGCCAAACCGCUGCGCCACCCAGGGAUCCCCCCUUUCUUUUUUUUUUAUUGGAGUUCAAUUUGCCAACAUAUAUAGUAUAACACCCAGUGCUCAUCCCGUCAAGUGCCCCCCCUCAGUGCCCAUCACCCAGUCACCCCAACCCCUUGCCCACCUCCCCUUCCACCACCCCUUGUUCGUUUCCCAAUUAGGAGUCUCUCAUGUUCUGUCACCCUCACUGAUGUUUUCACUCAUUUUCUCUUCUUUCCCCUUUAUUCCCUUCCACUAUUUUUUAUAUUCCCCAAAUGAAUGAGACCACAUAGUGUUUGUCCUUCUCUGAUUGACUUACUUCACUCAGCAUAAUACCCUCCAGUUCCAUCCACGUUGAAGCAAAUGGUGGAUAUUUGUCAUUUCUAAUGGCUGAGUAAUAUGCCAUUGUAUACAUAGAGCACAUCUUGGGAUAAGUAGAUCUUGUUACCAAAAUUGUCUUGUAUCUCAUUUUGUCACUUUCUAACUUUAUUCGCUUUAUGUUUUUUAUUUUUUAUUUUUUUAAGUUUGUUUAUUUAUUUAUUUAUGAGCGAGAGUGAGAGAGAGAGGCAGAGACCCCGGCAGAUGGAGAAGCAGGCUCCAUGCAGGGAGCCCGACGUGGGACUCGAUCCUGGGACUCAAGCAUCACGCUCUGGGCCAGAGGCAGGCGCCAAACCGCUGAGCCACCCAGGGAUCCCCUGUUUUUUAUUUUUUAAAGAUUUUAUUUAUUCUUGAGAGACACAGAAAGAAAGACGCAGAGACAUAGGCAGAGGAAGAAGCAAGCUUCCUGCAGGGAGCCCAGUGUGGGGACUUGAUCCCAGGACCCUGGGAUCAUGCCCUGAGCUGAAUGAAGGCAGAAGUCUGCUCAACCACUGAGCCACCCAGUCGCCUCUACCCAGGUGUCCGUCGCUUUGAUUUUUUGGAAAGCUGCUCUUGUUCUUUUUUUUCUUUUUUUCUUUUUCUUUUUUAAGAUUUCAUUUAUUUAUUCAUGAGAGAGACAGAGAGAGAGAGGCAGAGACACAGGCAGAGGGAGAAGCAGGCUUCAUGCAGAGAGCCCGACGUGGGACUCAAUCCUGGGUCUCUAGGAUCACACCCUGGGCCGAAGGCAGUGCCAAACCGCUGAGCCACCCAGGCUGCCCAGCUUCUCCUGUUCUUUUAAGCUCCUCGAAGACCUUGCUGUGUUAACGUACAUAAACUCACAUGCUCAUUCUUCUGCAAUGACUGCUUUUUCUUCACCGAGUUGGAGAGUGCAUACUUCAACAUUUAAUUUUCUUUUGUGAAGCCACCUGGUGUCGCAAACUACCAAUGAAUUCAGGAUUGACUUAAACAUGUAGGUACUGUAGGUAGGGCACCUAAAACAUUUUUAAAAUCAAAGAAAAAGUGAAUUUUUAGGUGGAAGAAAAUGUCACUUAGGGGGUGCUUGGCUGGCUCAAAGUAUAUGCAGCUUUGGGUCUUGGGUUCAAGAGUUCAGAGCCCCAUGUUGGGAGCAGAGUCUGCUUUUUAUUUUUAUUUAUUUUUAAAGAUUUUUAUUUAUUCAUGAGAGACACAGCGCGCGAAAGAGGCAGAGAGACACAGGCUGAAGGAGAAGCAGGCUCCCUGAAAGGAACCUGAUGUGGGACUCCAUCCUGGAUCCCGGGAUCACACCCUGGGCCAAAGGCAGAUGCUUAACUGCUGAGCCACUCAGGCGUCCCAGAGUUUGCUUUUUUAAAAAAGAAAAUGUCAUAUAAUAAUGUAUUCAUCUUAUCAAUGUAGUCACGCAAUUUUUAUUAUUAUUUUUUAAGAUUUUAUUUAUUCAUGAGAGACACAGAGAGGCAGAGACACACAGGCAGACGGAGAAGCAGGCUCCAUGCAGGGAGCCUGAUGCAGGCCUCCAUCCUGGAGCCCUGGGAUCACACCCUAAGUCAAAGGCAGGCGCUCAACCACUGAGCCAACCAGGUGUCCCAGAAAUAGUUUUAAUCAUACUAUAUAUUCAAGUUUGUAUGCUGGUUUUAUGGCAUGGUACAUUAUACAAUUUAGGCUUCCCUCUCAUUCUUAACAAACUUGAAGUUACUUUUAUAAUUAACUAUGAACCCUAAAAUUAGAGAUCUAGAUGUUGAAAGAUAAAUCAGGGAAAAAUUGUUUUUAAAUAAUUUGAAAAUAUGUAUCAUAUGUCACCUCUACUCUGCCCCCACUCACACAUAAUAACUUAAGGCACUUCUUAAGAUGAUUGUAAAAUUAUAGGGAAAAAAUUACUAGAAAUUACCCAAGAGGGAUGCCUAGCAGACUCAGUCAUUAGAGCAUGCAAUUCUUGAUCCUCGGGGUUGUGAGCUGGAGCUCCAUAUUGGUGUACAGUUUACUUAAAAACAUUUUUUUAGGGAUGCCUGGGUGGUUCAGCAGUUGAGCAUCUCCCUUCAGCUCAGGGUAUGAUCCCAGGGUUCCUGGAUCAAGGCCCGCAUCAGGCUCCCUGCAUGGAGCCUGCUUCUCCCUCUGCCUGUGUCUCUGCCUCUCUCUCUGUGUCUCUCAGUAAUAAAUAAAUAAAAUCUUUAAAAAUAAAACCACGUUUUUUUUUUAGGGAUGCCUUGGUGGCUCAGUGGUUGAGUGUCUGCCUUCCAUGAUGCCACAGUCAGGAUAGAUUCUCUCAUCGGACUCCCCACUGGAAACUGCUUCUCGCUCUGCCUGUGUCUGUGUCUCUGCCUCUCUUUCUCUAUGUCUCUCAUGAGUAAAUAAAUCAAAUCUUAAAAAAAAAAAAAAACCCACACAUUAAAAAAAAUUUAAAUAAAUAAAAGUAACCCCAAGAAAUCAUCAGUUACUUACAAAGAUAAAUCAACAAGGUUGUUCAUAUAUAUGAACAGUGGCAAUAAAAUAGAAGCAAUAUAAUAUUGAUUAUAGUUAUCUGUGAUCCAAUGUAUAUACCAAAAGGAAUAGAAAACAUAGUGUGAGGUUUAAUCCUAUUAAAAUAUAUAUUCAUAUUGAAAUUACCAUGUUGAAUAUCAAAGUAUUAACAGUGGAGUGGUAAUUUUGUAGAGGAUUGUGGUUUAAUGUUUUAAAAAUAUUUUCAAAAAAAAAUAUUUUUCUGCCUUUUCCAAAUUAUCUGCAAGGGACAUUUAUCACUAUUGUAAUAUUGUAAUAUACAAUAUUAAUAUUGUAAUUUAAAAUAUCCUCAAAAAUUUAAAUAAAGCAAAGUUUGUUUUUUUUAAUCACAUGUGCUGGGUACCUGGCUGGCUCAGUUGGUAGGUAGAUCAUGCAACUGUGGUUUUGAGGAUAUGAGUUCAAGUCCCAUGUUGUGCACAGAGAUGACCUAAAGAAAAAAAAAUCACAUAUACUAAUUACUGAGGGAAAUACCAAUGAAGGGUAGCAGAAUAUGCCACCCCAAAAUAGGCCACUUUGACAUAAGGAUUCUUUUGAGCUAAAAUCACUUGAAAAACAGCAGAUAUAAGGGUAGGUUCUGACCUCCCCUCUUCUUCCUGAGAUCAAGAGAUAAAACUCCCAUGUAGAAGAUGUCCUCCUUAUAACAGGGGAAAAGAAAUGUUCCCAGAGAAGGGGAUUCAAACCUGAGAGAAUUCUGUACAUACCUUUUUAAAAAGAAUUCAUGUCUAUGAAUUAUAUAUGUUACUUUUCCACAAUUUCCUCAAAAAACAAAAAA
rnacentral:lncRNA from 1 species